rnacentral:rRNA from 3 species
UAAUUGAAGAGUUUGAUCAUGGCUCAGAUUGAACGCUGGCGGCAGGCCUAACACAUGCAAGUCGAACGGUAACAG